CCAAUAGCGUAUAUUAAAGUUGCUGCAGUUAAAAAGCUCGUAGUUGAAUUUCGGGACCAAUAUGUCGGUCGUGCUUCGGUACGUACUGGCAUUAUUGGUUUCUCCCUUCUGAAGAACCUUGAUGUCAUUAAUUUGGUGUCUUGGGGAUUCAGGACUGUUACUUUGAAAAAAUUAGAGUGUUUAAAGCAGGCUCGCGCUUGAAUACAUUAGCAUGGAAUAAUGAAAUAGGACGUUUGAUUCUAUUUUGUUGGUUUCUAGGAUCGACGUAAUGAUUAAUAGGGAUAGUUGGGGGCAUUAGUAUUCAAUUGUCAGAGGUGAAAUUCUUGGAUUUAUUGAAGACUAACUACUGCGAAAGCAUUUGCCAAGGAUGUUUUCAUUAAUCAAGAACGAAAGUUAGGGGAUCGAAGACGAUCAGAUACCGUCGUAGUCUUAACCAUAAACUAUGCCGACUAGGGAUCGGAUGAUGUUAAUUUUUUAAUGACUCAUUCGGCGCCUUACG
rnacentral:rRNA from 1 species